rnacentral:rRNA from 1 species
UACAGAGGUGGCAAGCGUUGCUCGGUAUCACUGGGCUUAAAGGGCGCGUAGGCGGUGCGGUACGGUUUCGGUGAAAUCCCUCGGCCCAACCGAGGAACAGCCGGGGCUACGGCCGCGCUCGACGGCAUCAGGGGACAGUGGAACUCCCGGUGGAGCGGUGAAAUGCGUAGAUAUCGGGAGGAACGCCGGUGGCGAAAGCGACUGUCUGGGGUGCCUGUGACGCUGAGGCGCGAAAGCGUGGGGAGCGAACAGG